rnacentral:rRNA from 1 species
CGUUGUUCGGAAUUACUGGGCGUAAAGGGCCAGUAGGCGGCCAACUAAGUCGGAUGUGAAAUCCCCAGGCUUAACCUGGGAACUGCAUCCGAUACUGGAUGGCUUGAAUUCGGGAGAGGGAUGCAGAAUUCCAGGUGUAGCGGUGAAAUGCGUAGAUAUCUGGAGGAAUACCGGUGGCGAAGGCGGCAUCCUGGACCGACAUUGACGCUGAACGGCGAAAGCUAGGGGAGCAAACGGG